CCCUUAGAUGUUCUGGGCUGCACGCGCGCUACACUGAAGCUAUCAACACGUUUUCCCUCCCUGAGAAGGGCGGGUAACCUUUUGAAUCAGCUUCGUGGUCGGGAUCGGGGCUUGCAAUUGUUCCCCGUGAACCAGGAAUUCCUAGUAGACGCGAGUCAUAAGCUCGCAUCGAUUAAGUCCCUGCCCUUUGUACACACCGCCCGUCGCUACUACCGAUUGAACGUUUUAGUGAGGCAUUUGGACCGACGCAUCUCAGUUUAACCGCUGGUUUGUGUUGGAAAGACUUCCAAACUUGAGCGUUUAGAGGAAGUAAAAGUCGUAACA
rnacentral:rRNA from 1 species